rnacentral:tRNA from 1 species
AGCGGGGUGGGCUAGCCUGGUUUAUGCCGCAGGGCUCAUAACCCUGAGAUCGUUCGUUCAAAAAUCUUGCUUUGCUGAUUUCCAGCAGAUUGGGAUUCGAACCCCCGCUA